rnacentral:lncRNA from 1 species
CGGAGUCCUAGCACGCGGAUGGAACCUUGGUGGGGCGGAGCCUGUGGGGGCGGGACGAGGCCCGGGCAGGACGGGCCUCACUUGCCGGCGUUUGCCGGCCCGGGCCACUACUUGUGAGGAGCUCUGUGGCCGCGGAAGCAAGUGAGAGAUUUCGACCAGUUACCUUACUCUGGUUUUCCUGCCUCCCUCUUCAUCAGCGAGAUUCAAGGCUGGACCAGGGCCCCCAGGGAAAAAAUCCUGCUAUCAAGGAAGAAAAUAUAGGACCAGGACCUUCCCAUGGACCCUUCUCAGGACAUUCCAACAGCACAAGCAAGGGUGUCUCCCUAAGACACAAGAGGCCUGAAAAAACUAUCCUUUGUGAAGUGCCAUGGUGGUCAAGAAAAGCAGAGCCACAGCUCCCAGACUAAGCAAGCCUGGCCCCACAGGUACCUCACUUGGAUCCCAGUGGGCGGGGCAUCCCCACGUCCCCGCGCCAUUAAGCCCAGGUGGUGGACUCUACCCAAGGCACGGCCGGGGCAGAAGCGAAGGCCGGGAGGCGGGACUGAAGAAUGCGCAGGCGGGAGCCACGAGGCGGGCGCGCCCCUUUCACGGCUUCCGGCGGCGGCGGGCGGUUCCGGGGCGGCGGCGCGCGGCAGGGGACCGUUGGUGUUUGCGUUGGCCGUAGUGGACUGGGCCGUGGACACCAUGCAGCUGACCGUGAAGGCGCUCCAGGGCCGGGAAUGUAGCCUACAGGUGGCGGAGGACGAGCUAGUGUCUACACUGAAGCACCUGGUCUCGGAUAAGCUGAAUGUCCCUGUGCGCCAGCAACGUCUGCUGUUCAAGGGCAAGGCCCUAGCAGGAUUAUGACAGGUCCUUGAGCCGCCUAACACUGGAUGACAUCGAACGUUUGGCCAGCCGCUUUCUACACCCUGAAGUGACUGAGGCUAUGGAAAAAGGGUUCUGCAAAUAGCAUUCUGGGAUUGUGGGGAGAAAUCCCAG